UACAGAGGUCCCGAGCGUUGUUCGGAUUUACUAAGCGUAAAGGAUGCGUAGGCGAUGAAAUAAGUUUGAGGUGAAAGCUCCGGGCUCAACCCGGAAAAUGCCUUGAAAACUAUCCGGCUAGAGGGUUGGAGGGGAGACUGGAAUUCUCGGUGUAGCAGUGAAAUGCAUAGAUCUCGAGAGGAACACCAGUGGCGAAGGCGGGUCUCUGGGCCGUAACUGACGCUGAGGAGCGAAAGCGUGGGGAGCGAACAGG
rnacentral:rRNA from 1 species